CCUACGGGAGGCAGCAGUGGGGAAUCUUGCGCAAUGGGCGAAAGCCUGACGCAGCAACGCCGCGUGUGUGAUGAAGGUCUUCGGAUCGUAAAGCACUGUCGCGAGGGACGAAUAAGGCCUCAGCCAAUACCUGGGGACGAUGACGGUACCUCGAGAGGAAGCACCGGCUAACUCUGUGCCAGCAGCCGCGGUAAUACAGAGGGUGCUAGCGUUGUUCGGAAUUAUUGGGCGUAAAGCGCGUGUAGGCGGUCCAUCAAGUUGGGUGUGAAAGCCCUCGGCUUAACCGAGGAAGUGCGCCCAAAACUAGUGGACUCGAGUACCGGAGAGGGUGGCGGAAUUCCCGGUGUAGAGGUGAAAUUCGUAGAUAUCGGGAGGAACACCAGCGGCGAAGGCGGCCACCUGGACGGAUACUGACGCUGAGACGCGAAAGCGUGGGGAGCAAACAGGAUUAGAUACCCGAGUAGUC
rnacentral:rRNA from 1 species